AGAGUUUGAUCAUGGCUCAGAUUGAACGCUGGCGGAAUGCUUUACACAUGCAAGUCGAGCGGCAGCACGGGGGCAACUCUGGUGGCGAGCGGCGAACGGGUGAGUAAUGCAUCGGAACGUACCCAGUCGUGGGGGAUAACGUAGCGAAAGUUACGCUAAUACCGCAUACGUCCUGAGGGGGAAAGCGGGGGACCGGUAACGGCCUCGCGCGAUUGGAGCGGCCGAUGUCUGAUUAGCUAGUUGGUAGGGUAAAGGCCUACCAAGGCGACGAUCAGUAGCGGGUCUGAGAGGAUGAUCCGCCACACUGGGACUGAGACACGGCCCAGACUCCUACGGGAGGCAGCAGUGGGGAAUUUUGGACAAUGGGGGCAACCCUGAUCCAGCCAUUCCGCGUGGGUGAAGAAGGCCUUCGGGUUGUAAAGCCCUUUCGGCCGGAGCGAAACGGUCGUGGCUAAUAUCCACGGCUAAUGACGGUACCGGAAGAAGAAGCACCGGCUAACUACGUGCCAGCAGCCGCGGUAAUACGUAGGGUGCGAGCGUUAAUCGGAAUUACUGGGCGUAAAGCGUGCGCAGGCGGCUACUUAAGCCAGAUGUGAAAUCCCCGGGCUCAACCUGGGAAUGGCAUUUGGAACUGGGUGGCUAGAGUGCGGCAGAGGGAGGUGGAAUUCCACGUGUAGCAGUGAAAUGCGUAGAGAUGUGGAGGAACACCGAUGGCGAAGGCAGCCUCCUGGGUCGACACUGACGCUCAUGCACGAAAGCGUGGGGAGCAAACAGGAUUAGAUACCCUGGUAGUCCACGCCCUAAACGAUGUCAACUGGUUGUUGGGGGAGUGAAAUCCCUUGGUAACGAAGCUAACGCGUGAAGUUGACCGCCUGGGGAGUACGGUCGCAGAUUAAACUCAAGGAAUUGACGGGACCCGCACAAGCGGUGGAUGAUGUGGAUUAAUUCGAUGCAACGCGAAGAWWCUUACCUACCCUUGACAUGGUAGGAACUUGUGAGAGAUCACUGGGUGCCCGAAAGGGAACCUACACACAGGUGCUGCAUGGCUGUCGUCAGCUCGUGUCGUGAGAUGUUGGGUUAAGUCCCGCAACGAGCGCAACCCUUGUCUCUAGUUGCCAGCAUUCAGUUGGGCACUCAGAGGAGACUGCCGGAGACGAUCCGGAGGAAGGUGGGGAUGACGUCAAAUCAUCAUGCCCCUUAUGUCCUGGGCUACACACGUGCUACAAUGGCCGGCACAACGGGCGGCGAGGCAGCGAUGCCAAGCGAAUCCCUCAAAGCCGGCCCCAGUUCGGAUCGCAGGCUGCAACCCGCCUGCGUGAAGCCGGAAUUGCUAGUAAUCGCGGAUCAGCACGCCGCGGUGAAUACGUUCCCGGGCCUUGUACACACCGCCCGUCACACCACGAAAGUUGGCAACACCCGAAGUCGGUGGGCUAACCCGCAAGGGAGGCAGCCGCCGAAGGUGGGGUCAAUGACUGGGGUGAAGUCGUAACAAGGUAUCCGUA
rnacentral:rRNA from 1 species